rnacentral:rRNA from 1 species
CACGGGGGGAGCAAGCGUUGUUCGGAAUUACUGGGCGUAAAGCGCACGUAGGCGGCCAUUCAAGUCAGAGGUGAAAGCCCAGGGCUCAACCUUGGAACUGCCUUUGAAACUAGAUGGCUAGAAUUCUGGAGAGGUCAGUGGAAUUCCGAGUGUAGAGGUGAAAUUCGUAGAUAUUCGGAAGAACACCAGUGGCGAAGGCGACUGACUGGACAGAUAUUGACGCUGAGGUGCGAAAGCGUGGGGAGCAAACAGG